UCAAAAGUAAGAGAAGAAACAAAGCAAGAAGAUACAAAGUAUCAUAGAGUGUUUGAUGCAGAAAGGUAUCACGGGAAAUUUUGAGAGUGGGGAAAGUUCAGAUUCUGAUGAACAAGCUUCUUGAUUGGAGAUGAACGAAUUUGGUAACCUGCAUAGCAAGAGUUUUUUGUUGAUAUUACCAGACAUCCAUCACAGUGUAGUUGUACUUUUUGUUGAUAUUACCAAACAUGUAUUUUGACUAUGUUGUUGUGGGUUAUGAUUAUAUUAUGAUGGAUCUUAUCUUUUUGUUGAUAUUUUAUUGAAUAGAUUAAAAUGAACAGGUUUUUGUUGAUAUUACCAAAUGAACAGGUUUUUGUAAUGAUUUGUAAUGGAUAUUAUAUUCAGCAGGUUAUUAAAAUGCACAAGUUAUUUUGA